GUGGGUGGGCGGUCUUUAAAGCCCUCCAUCGCCGCCCAAAUAGCUGCCCGGUACAUCACAAUUUCUCCAAGUCUCCCUGUCAGUGACAGGGGUUUUGAAGUAGGAAAGUGGAUGCUUUCUUGCUCUAGGCUUCUCCACACACAAGAAGGUUAUCUACGCGCCCGUAUCAUACACCAUGAAGCAAUGGCUCCUCAUCUUCAUCCUCUCAGGAUGUGAGCAGCCUCUGCCACACGCUGCCACCCCCAUCAGCGACUGAGCUGUGCCUUUCCCUCCAUGGUGGGUUGAAACCCUCCAAAACCAGGAGUCAAGACGAAGCUGUGUUGUCUCAGCCAUACACAGGAAUUAUUAUGGAGUUCAAAUGAGAAGAAACAGGCGCAUGAGAGCAGAAAGGUUCGUUUCACUUUGCCCUCACAGGAUUUCAUUUUGACAAUUCCCUGUGUAGAUUUCUCAGAUAGCCGCAACCCUCAGCAGCUCUGCAUGCUCCUGCCUCACACCUCUGACGAUUCAUCCCCCGGAAAGUUUGGUUCAGCCGUUUAUAUCCGUGGCUUUGAAGCCGUCUAUCAAAACUCUCUGCCAGGGACUGCAUUAAGAUGUUGGCAGCUGGUGGCUGCUUCUCCCCAAGUGCACUGCUUGUUCCAACCAAGGAACACUGGAGAAGGAUGGAGAGAUACGGUGUGCUCUUCAUUUUGCCAAAUAACAUGGAUUAUGAUGCCAUCCUCCUUGGGAACUUUCCGCAGGAUGAGGGUGUGCUGUCCCUGUCAUACCGCCAAUGACCCCUUUGUGUGGUAAACAAACAAACAAUCAAACUCUGGCUUUAUGUAACCACCCUAUGGAUGCCGCAUCAUGUGUCCUGGUACUGCCUGCAUUGGCCCCUUCUAGCAAGGGCUGUAUCAGAGCAGGACAAAGCCACCUGUACGCAGGAAAGGAUGAAGGCAGUGUGUAAUUCUAUAAAACACUUUGAGGAUUUCAGAAGGUGCUACGUACAUCAAUAAAUAAUAAUAAUUUUCA